GAUGAACGCUGGCGGCGUGCUUAACACAUGCAAGUCGAACGUGAGGGUGCAGCAAUGUGCCUGAAAGUGGCAAACGGGUGAGUAACACGUAGGUAACCUGCCUCGAAGUGGGGGAUAACCACGGGAAACUGUGGCUAAUACCGCAUGGUCUUGCGAAUGCGAAAGCGUUUGCAAGUAAAACUCCGGUGCUUCGAGAGGGGCCUGCGCCCGAUUAGCUAGUUGGUAGGGUAAAGGCCUACCAAGGCGAUGAUCGGUAGCUGGUCUGAGAGGACGAUCAGCCACACGGGAACUGAGAUACGGUCCGACUCCUACGGGGGGCAGCAGUGAGGAAUAUUGGGCAAUGGACGAAAGUCUGACCCAGCAACG
rnacentral:rRNA from 1 species